rnacentral:piRNA from 1 species
UAAAAGAGAGCACGUGGAUCCAUA